GUGCUAGACUCCUACGGGAGGCAGCAGUGGGGGAUAUUGGACAAUGGGGGAAACCCUGAUCCAGCGAUGCCGCGUGAGGGAAGAAGGUUUUCGGAUUGUAAACCUCUGUGGACAGGGACGAUAAUGACGGUACCUGACUAAGAAGCCCCGGCUAACUACGUGCCAGCAGCCGCGGUAAUACGUAGGGGGCAAGCGUUAUCCGGAUUUACUGGGUGUAAAGGGAGCGUAGACGGCUGUGCAAGUCUGGAGUGAAAGGCAUGGGCUCAACCUGUGGACUGCUUUGGAAACUGUGCAGCUUGAGUGUCGGAGAGGCAAGUGGAAUUCCUAGUGUAGCGGUGAAAUGCGUAGAUAUUAGGAGGAACACCAGUGGCGAAGGCGGCUUGCUGGACGAUGACUGACGUUGAGGCUCGAAAGCGUGGGGAGCAAACAGGAUUAGAUACCCCUGUA
rnacentral:rRNA from 1 species